rnacentral:rRNA from 1 species
UACGUAGGGCGCAAGCGUUGUCCGGAAUUACUGGGCGUAAAGCGUGCGCAGGCGGUUCUAUAAGACAGAUGUGAAAUCCCCAGGCUUAACCUGGGAACUGCAUUCGAGACUGCAUUGCUAGAGUAUGGGAGAGGGAAGUGGAAUUUCCGGUGUAGCGGUGAAAUGCGUAGAUAUCGGAAGGAACAUCAGUGGCGAAAGCGACUUCCUGGACCAAUACUGACGCUCAUGUGCGAAAGCGUGGGGAGCAAACAGG